CUGGAAAACCCUGAGAGAGCCGUCUCCGCCAUCUUAGGGACGACUCGGGAAGUCUCCUUUUUGCUUGCGGGGACGACUCCGCGUACAGCGGGGACGUCUCGCGCAUAUCCCUUGAAAAGCGUCUUUCUGCCGCCACUGAGAGAGUCGACUCCGCUACUGAGAGAGUCGACUCCGCUAACGCGGGGACGACUCGACAGGAGCCGGAGACGUCUCCAAGUGUGCCAGUUCUUUCUGUUUGUGCCAGAGACGUCUCUGAAACUAUCAGGAGACGUCUCGGCUGUCCCUGAACUUUUUCUUUAGCUCAAAAUAUUCUUCAAUAAAUUCAUAAAAAUUAUGGGAACUCGCCUAGACAUUUCUUAACAAUAUUCUAAAUAAAACACAUGAAUUUCUCAAUUGAAUUGUUAAGAUAUAAUGGAAUUUUACUCUAGUGUUUUGUAUUCAUCAAAAUCCAUUAGGGGGUUAACA
rnacentral:lncRNA from 1 species